AUUGAACGCUGGCGGCAGGCCUAACACAUGCAAGUCGAGCGGAUGAAGGGAGCUUGCUCCUGGAUUCAGCGGCGGACGGGUGAGUAAUGCCUAGGAAUCUGCCUGGUAGUGGGGGAUAACGUCCGGAAACGGGCGCUAAUACCGCAUACGUCCUGAGGGAGAAAGUGGGGGAUCUUCGGACCUCACGCUAUCAGAUGAGCCUAGGUCGGAUUAGCUAGUUGGUUGGGUAAAGGCCUACCAAGGCGACUAUCCGUAACUGGUCUGAGAGGAUGAUCAGUCACACUGGAACUGAGACACGGUCCAGACUCCUACGGGAGGCAGCAGUGGGGAAUAUUGGGCAAUGGGCGAAAGCCUGAUCCAGCCAUGCCGCGUGUGUGAAGAAGGUCUUCGGAUUGUAAAGCACUUUAAGUUGGGAGGAAGGGAAGUAAGUUAAUACCUUGCUGUUUUGACGUUACCAACAGAAUAAGCACCGGCUAACUUCGUG
rnacentral:rRNA from 1 species